rnacentral:rRNA from 1 species
CAUGUAGGGUGCGAGCGUUGUCCGGAAUUAUUGGGCGUAAAGAGCUCGUAGGCGGUGUGUCGCGUCGGCCGUGAAAACCUGCAGCUUAACUGUGGGCUUGCGGUCGAUACGGGGCAUCACUGGAGUUCGGCAGGGGGAGACUGGAAUUCCUGGUGUAGCGGUGAAAUGCGCAGAUAGUCAGGAGGAACGACCCGGUGGCGAAGGCGGCGACCUGGUCCUUUUACUGACGCUGGAGGAGCGAAAGCCAUGGGGAGCGAACAGG